rnacentral:rRNA from 1 species
GCGGCCGCGAAUUCACUAGUGAUUACUCCUACGGGAGGCAGCAGUGGGGAAUAUUGGACAAUGGGGGGAACCCUGAUCCAGCCAUGCCGCGUGUGUGAAGAAGGCCUUAUGGUUGUAAAGCACUUUAAGCGAGGAGGAGGCUACUGAGACUAAUACUCUUGGAUAGUGGACGUUACUCGCAGAAUAAGCACCGGCUAACUCUGUGCCAGCAGCCGCGGUAAUACAGAGGGUGCGAGCGUUAAUCGGAUUUACUGGGCGUAAAGCGUGCGUAGGCGGCUUUUUAAGUCGGAUGUGAAAUCCCCGAGCUUAACUUGGGAAUUGCAUUCGAUACUGGGAAGCUAGAGUAUGGGAGAGGAUGGUAGAGUUCCAGGUGUAGCGGUGAAAUGCGUAGAGAUCUGGAGGAAUACCGAUGGCGAAGGCAGCCAUCUGGCCUAAUACUGACGCUGAGGUACGAAAGCAUGGGGAGCAAACAGGAUUAGAUACCCUGGUAGUCCAUGCCGUAAACGAUGUCUACUAGCCGUUGGGGCCUUUGAGGCUUUAGUGGCGCAGCUAACGCGAUAAGUAGACCGCCUGGGGAGUACGGUCGCAAGACUAAAACUCAAAUGAAUUGACGGGGGCCCCCACAAGCGGUGGAGCAUGUGGA